UCCCUGCAUGGUGCGUACUUAAGGAAGAAAUUUUAGAACCUACAAAGCAAUGGAUAAGGGAGCUGAUCUCUGAAUAUGGCGUGUAAGCUUACACAAUGUAGUAAGAAACCCAUAAGUAUUUAGGUAAGCACCCACCUGUAUAUAUACAGGUCCAUAAAAUUUCUAGAACUUACGGCUAAUGUGGGGGU
rnacentral:other from 1 species